UUUUUUUUUUGUUUUUAAUUUUUCCAAAAGCAGAAGGAUUUUUGGCAUUUUUCCAUAUCUGUGCAAUCUGAAAGUUUUUCUAAAAUCUGCUCCUACAUCAGAAUUUUAACUGUGUGUGUGGGAUGACUUGUUUUUAGGAGUCUGACUUGUGGCCUGACCUGUGGACAGAACCACUUCUCUCCACUCUCUGCUUUGAACCAUACUUACAUUAGCCAUUAUGGGUCACAGUGUCAAGAUCUAGCAUUAUAACUUUCUUUGUGUUGUAGCAUGACUGUAAGUCAGAAGUAAGAAUGCUAUGAGUGUACUAGAGUAUUUUUGAGGGGGAAAUGCAGAAAAAAUAUCUGAAGGAUAAGCACGAAAGAUUUUGUGGAAGAAUUUACCACAGUUCAAAAAGAUUUUUUUAUUUUUCUUUUUAAUUUUGAUUAGUUUAUGAGAAAUGGGACUCAGUAGUACUUUCUGUGCUCACUUGAUAUCUUUCAGGCAAGGGUUUUAAAGCGCAUCACACAUUUGUGGCAGAACCCAUACCUGAAACCCAAACUUCCUGGCACAUUUAGGAUCUGAUUAGUGGCCUUGGUUUCAGGUGGAUGCAUGUGGGUAGAUCAAUACACACGUAUUAAUCUCUAUAGAGCAAAACGGAACUGAGGUGAGUAUUUACAUUUGCACUUGCAGGAACAGGUUCUAAACAAACUUUUGUUUUCUCAAAUAUCAUACAACGGCCACUGAGAACAGGAGAAGCAAUUGAAUAUGAUUAACCUGUCACUGUGUUAAUUAUAUAUGGUUGGGAUAGUAACAAUAUUUCAUCAGUUUGGUUUCAAACACAAGACCUUCAGGGAACUGAAGAUCCUCCUGCAUUUUAAUUCCAUCGCACAUGCUGAAGAGCAGUUGGAAGAACUUCAUCCCUGAAAUUCCUGGUAAAGUUUAAUGACUUGGUUAACUAGAGGAUUGACCUCAAAUCCUCAGCCACCAUCAGAACAAUGGAUAAGAUUCAGUAGAAAACACUUCUCUAUCUCCAGAAAAGCCUUUCUUUGUGUUAUUUAAUGAAACUGGAAGAAUGCAGUUAGCUUUCCAUUAAAAAAUCAAGCUUCAUUGAAAUUUAAACUUCAUGACUAGUACCAUCAAAAUUACAGUCUGCUUGUUAUUUAACUUUACAGCAUUCCUACUUUUUUCAGUGUAAAAAUAUAAUUACUUGUUUACCAGUUAAUAGGAGGUAGCAUCCGCACUGCUGUUAGUCAUUAGCUGCUUGUUGAGACUGAAACUUCUUAUGAUCUUAUUCAUCCUGACUAAGCAUUGGGAUGUCUUUGGUAAAAAAAAAAAAGCAAAACAAUAAAUCAUCCACCUUCAGGAAAAUGUGUCAAAAUACAUUUCUGCACAUAUUUUCUAUUGUUGCUUCUCAGCUGGACUGAUUCUCAGGGGUCAGCUGAGACUUCCUUCAGCUAGAGCUUUUUCAGACAUGAUAGCGUGCCUCAGGAUACUCAUUCAGAUUGAUAUUUGCAGAGCAGGCAGUUGGAGUUCAUUUAACAUUUUAAUGAAUUGUUGUUACUUCAACAUUUUUCCUUACACUUUCCUUACAGAAAAGCAGAAGUGUAGCUUGACUGAGUUGCCAGUGUUUUGUAGUGUGUGUUACCUAGGUUUUGACUAUCCUUUAACUUUGCUUUGUGUUUUUUUUUAAUACUUCUGCUAUUGCCUAUUUUCUCCCAAAUUAAAACUUAUUCUUAAAAAUACUUAUUUUGCAACUGAUUUUAUAGGUAUUGAUUUUCUUUUAGUUUAUCUUCUUCCCCCCUCGAAAAAGCUCUUAAUCUUUCAGAUUCGGUGAUCUAUUGUUUUUGCUUGAUUAUUAUUGUGAAAAGCAGAAAGGGAGAGUAAGAUUUCUAUCCUUUGUUUACUUACUGUUCUUUGGAUUCACACUGGCAGCAUUUUCAUGUCAUCCUUUGCAAUAUGGUGUAACAUUUGGGAUUAUCAAAAGUCCCUAGCUUUUAGGUACUUGGAUUCCACUUAAUUACAGUGAGAUUUGUAUUCCUAAAUCACUUAGUACAGAUUGCCAUAUUCCCAGGCGUUAACCCAAAGCAGUCAGCAUACCUGAAGAGCAUCUACUGGGCAAGAAAUUGGACUUUCUCCAGCCAAUUACCAAAUGCUAAUUAGAAGAUGAAGUAGGUCAAACGAGAAUGAAUAACUUCUCUUGCUUGUCUUUGCUCAAAUUCUUUGAGUGGGCUCCCAGGCAAGGCUUGAGAGAGAUCACAACUUCCACAGGCAGAUGUUUUAUGUGCCUUGGCUCAUUUCACUAUUGCUCUUUUACACCAGGUGUUUCCUAUCGCUAGGGCUCAUGUGAUUUUUGUGUGAUUGAUAAUUCUUCUUGAGGUCCCUUAACUCACACCUCCUUUUUAUGUAGUACUGGUAAUUCUGUAGGUCAGAGCAUCCUUAAAUACCUUCCAAAAGUCUAGUGAGACAUGAACCCUUGGAUUCAGAGCCGAUAUAAAAGUUUAUAUAAGCCAAUGUGGUAGUAAAUUAGGCAAGGAAUAUGCUUCCAUGGUUUGUGGUCCAGAUUCAUUUUUGGUGAAGGUUUCUCAGUACAUCCAAUGAAUUAUAUUCAGCAGUAAAAUUUGGAACGUUUGAUACCAAGGUUGAAUUUGUGAUAGUCCUCGAAACAUUUUGAUAUUUACUUAUGAUCCACCUGGUACAAAAAAGUUUGAAUUUCAAUCAUC
ensembl:lncRNA